rnacentral:rRNA from 1 species
AGUGAACGCUGGCGGUAGGCCUAACACAUGCAAGUCGAACGGCAGCACAGUAAGAGCUUGCUCUUACGGGUGGCGAGUGGCGGACGGGUGAGGAAUACAUCGGAAUCUACUUUUUCGUGGGGGAUAACGUAGGGAAACUUACGCUAAUACCGCAUACGACCUACGGGUGAAAGCAGGGGAUCUUCGGACCUUGCGCGAUUGAAUGAGCCGAUGUCGGAUUAGCUAGUUGGCGGGGUAAAGGCCCACCAAGGCGACGAUCCGUAGCUGGUCUGAGAGGAUGAUCAGCCACACUGGAACUGAGAAACGGUCCAGACUCCUACGGGAGGCAGCAGUUGGGAAUAUUGGACAAUGGGCGCAAGCCUGAUCCAACCAUACCGCGUGGGUGAAGAAGGCCUUCGGGUUGUAAAGCCCUUUUGUUGGGAAAGAAAAGCAGCAGGUUAAUACCCCGCUGUUCUGACGGUACCCAAAGAAUAAGCACCGGCUAACUUCGUG